UACGGAGGCCUCGAGCGUUAGGCGGAAUCACUGGGCUUAAAGCGUGUGUAGGCGGACUUCUAAGUACCUUGUGAAAUCCCACGGCUCACCCGUGGAACUGCUCGGUAUACUGGUCGUCUUGAGCCUUCUAGGGGCGAGUGGAACAAAUGGUGGAGCGGUGAAAUGCGUAGAUAUCAUUUGGAACGCCAAUGGUGAAAACAGGUAGCUGGGAGUGUGCUGACGCUGAGACACGAAAGCCAGGGGAGCGAACGGG
rnacentral:rRNA from 1 species